GCCAGGAUAAAAUUAAAUGAAAGAAAACUUAAUGGACUAAAACAACUAUUUGAAGAUCUUGGUACUUUUGAAAGGCAUAUAAUGACCAGGUCAUUGCCAGGUGUGUGAAUCCAGCCAUGCACUUGUGCUUUAGGCACUUCUGCAAUUUUUCUAUUUUUUUAUUUUUUCCCACCUUGAGACAAAAUUCAAAUUUUCAUAGAUUUCAUGUAUAAAUUUUCCUUCGCACCCUUUCAUAAAAAUCCACAUCAUUUAAUAUGUUACUAGUUAGUAAUAGCCAGGAUAAAAAUGAAAGAAAACUUAAUAGACUAAAAUAUCUACUCAUUACUUUUGGAAGACAUAUAAUAAACAAGUCAUUUCCAUGUGUGAACCUGGCCAUGCUCUUGUGCUUCAAUCCCUAGGGUAGUUGUUUCCUUUUUUUGUUUUUCCUGCCUUUAGACAAAGUUUAAAUUCCACAUAUUUCACAUACAAAGUUUCCAUGACGCCCUUUCACAAUAAUCCACCAUCAUUAAAUACAUUACUUGUUAGUAAUGAGCAGUAUGAAAAUGAAAGAUAACUUAAUAAUGGACUAUGACAUCUAUUACGUGAUCUAGUUACUUUUGGUAGGCAUAUAAUAACCAGGUCAAUGCGAAGUGUGAACCCACCCAUACACUUGUGCUUCAAGCCCUUUGUGCAGUUGUUUUCAUUUUUUGUUUUUUUCUCGCCACGAGACAAAGAUCAAAUUUCCACACAUUUCACUUAUAAGUUUUCCAUUGCACCCUCUCAAUAAAAUCCACCAUCAUUUAAUAUGUUACUAGUUAGUAAUGAUGAGGAUAAAAAUGAAAGAAAACUUAAUGGACGAAAACAUCUAUAUAGAGAGUUGGUUACUUUUGGAAGAUACAUAAUAACUAGGUCA
rnacentral:lncRNA from 1 species